rnacentral:rRNA from 1 species
UACAGAGGGGGCAAGCGUUACUCGUCUUGACUGGGCGUAAAGGGUGAGUAGGUUGUUAAAAUAAAUAAAUAGUAAAUCUUAGGGUAAAUCUUAAAUAUUGUUUUCUAUUAUUUUAAACUAGAGUUGAUUAGGUGUUAUAGGAAUUUUUAAUGUAACGAUGAAAUGUAAACAUAUUAGAAGGAACAUUUGUGGUGGAGACUAUUAACAAUAAUUAACUGACACUGAGGCACGAAGUUAUGGGUAUCAAACAGG